GCUAUGUUUCAUGGCAGGUUAUGGAUGUUCCUGCUUUCUUCCUUGUCAGAAGCAGAGAAGGUUCUAGGAGAAAUAUCUAAUUAUAAAGUUCAGGCAGGUUGCAUGUUUCUUAGAUUUGCGCACCAUCAGCCAAUGAUAGAUGCGAUACAUGAGUGCCUUCUUAAGAAAAAAGUGGGUUGCAUCUGGAUUGAUGGAGGUACACCCGCUGCAUCAAGGCAACAAUUGGUUACAGAUUUCCAGGAAAAGGAUUAUAUCAAGGCAGCUGUAGUAUGGUGGUAUUUUUGCUAUCCAUUAAAGCGGGAGUAGUUGGAUUACUGCAAGCACAGUUAUCUUUACAGAACAAUCCUGGAUUCCAAGUGACCUAAUUCAGGCCAAAGAUCGUGCUCAUAGAAUUGGUCAGGUCUCAUUAGUAAAUAUAUACUAGUUGGCAAAUGAUAUGGUUGAUGACAUCAUUUGGGAUGUGGUGCAAUUCAAACUGGAUAAUUUGGGGCAGAUGUUAGAUGCCCAUGAGAACACCUUAGCUGUGUCAAAUAAUCAGCCAUUGAGUAUCCCUGCAAAGCAUACUACUAUUGGGCAUAGCCCUUCAAAGCAGAGAACUCUUGACCAGUUUGUCAGAAGAUGUGAUAACGUGGAUAGGUCGGAAGUCGGAACAUCAUCCUGACCGGAAACAGCCCUCUCGGUCAUGACUUGUGAGAUAUGCAAAAUGGAUUUCCAUUUUCACAGAUACAUGGCCAGUGGCAAGUGAAUAGGAACUUAAAUGUUGAUGUCUACAUGCAGAAGUUUCCCUGUAGUAUUAACCAGGUGUGCUUACAUGGGGAAUUCACCUGUGAUGACACAAAUGCCGUUUUGAAGCUGAAAUCCAUUGUACAACAAAUAAUAGAUUGAGUAGAACUGGCUACACUAAACUAUGUUACUUGUACUGGAGAUAAUGGUUUGAAUAUGUGAAAUAUGUAUUGGAAGAAAAUGUUGAUAAAGUCACCCAUUAGAUUUUAGGUUUCCACUUCUUGUUCUUAACUUUUUGCUCCCCUAUGUUUUGUUUUAGUUUGGGGCUCUGUACAGAGUAUGACAUUAUCAUAUAUGAAUGAGAGUUGUAAAUUUCUUUACUCCA